rnacentral:lncRNA from 1 species
UAUGCACAAGCGCAACAAAGCAGCAUAUAACCCAGAAACCAAGCAACCCGGUAACCAGACGACCUUGGCAACCCGACUCUUGUUAUCCAGAGAAUAGGGUUAUCUACCUACCCAACCUGCGACAUCAACAACCUUCACUUGGCACAAGGCAGUGUGGAAUGUGGCUUGUUCUCCGAAGCUCAAACUCCUUGUCUGGAAAACACUCCAUGAAGCUUUACCUACUGGUCACAACCUGCAACGACGGGGAGUAAUUAACAAUAUCUCAUGCAUCCACUGCGGGGGAGUUGAAUCUGUGAACCAUCUUUUCCUACAGUGUACCUUUGCUGCGACUGUGUGGAACCUCGUUCCUCUCCAAUCACCGUUCUGCUCAACUAUGUGCCCAUCAAUAGUCAUCGCACUUGAAGCUUCGAGCAAUUGGACUUGCCUUCCGCCGACGGGAGUGUCUUUAAACAUACUCUUUUGGAUCAUGUGGGCGUUGUGAAACACACGAAACCAACUCUUAUUUGAGUCGCGCCCCCAAUCAUCCUCAGAAGUGGUCUCCAAGGCUUUGGCAGCAGCAAGGGAAUGGCAGCUUGCUCAGAACCCAAUCGACACCUCACGUAAUACGCAAAAGGAGCCAUCUAUCACUCUGACGCCGACGAUCCCCUCAGGGACAAUCCUAUGCAAUAGCGACGCAGCGUGGGAUAAGAACUCGGAAUCGACGGGACUUGGAUGGAUCUUUACAUCUCCAGGAACCCCAACUCUUCAAGGCACCCAAUUUCAGACUCACGUGCAAUCGGUCCUCUUGGCUGAAGCCCUAGCGGUACGAUCUGCCCUCCAACACGCCAUUCGUCUUGGCUACACACAAAUCUGGCUUAGAUCAGAUUCUCUUGUGCUCAUCAGAGCCAUCACUUCGAUCAACAAACCGAAGAUCAUCCACGGAGUUCUCUCGGAUAUCGGAGCUUUAUCACUUUCCUUUGCUUUCUGUUUUUUCUCUUUUAUUCCUCGGGAGUUUAAUGGACCUGCGGACCACUUAGCAAAAAGCUCUCUUUGUAACCGGGCCUCCGUUUUGGGCCUAGACUUCUAGUUUCUUAUUAAUGAAAGAUGGUUGAUCAAAAAAAAAAAAAAAAAAAAAAAAAAAAAGGUUAUCUAC